CGGUUUGAAUACCACAUGUGUUUUCUGACUUUUGGGAGCCAACUCUUGUUUUUUUUUUGGAACUUACGACUUAUGGCAAGAGAGAAGAAAACUGUGUGACUUUAAAAGAAAACCAGUGAGAUAAAAUCAUAGAAAAUGUAUGAUGAUUCAGGAUGUGGUCAUUUGGUCCUGUUCUGUGGAUGCCCUAAGACAGUGUCUACCCAUCAUUCCAUCUGAUAUCACUUGUUCUGAGCAUAUUUCUCUCUCAAACUUAAACUACAGAGAGCCUGUGGAUAGUGG